rnacentral:lncRNA from 1 species
GCGGAAGGUUGCCCGGGCUGGCGCCGCUGGGCAGAGCCGGUGCGACGUUUCCCUUUCCAGCUUUGUUCUUCCGGCCCUGCUGUCUGCCUCCCCGGCUGAUUGGAUUCGUUACUGCUUUGCAACGCGCACCUAACUCCAGACGGGGUCUCACUCUGUCGCCCAGGCUGGAGUGCAGUGGCACAAUCUCAGCUUGCUGUGACCUCAGCUCUCUGCGACCUCUGCUUGCUGGACUCAAGCGAUCCUCCCACCACCUCAGCCUCCUGAGUAGCUGGAACCAUCAUAUGCACCAGCACGCCUGGCUAAAGUUUUGCUCUUGUCACCCAGGCUGGAAUGCAAUAGCGUGGUCUUGGCUCACUGCAACCUCCGCCUCCCGGGUUCAAGCAAUUCUCCUGCCUCAGCCUCCUAAGUAGCUGGGACUACAGCUUGAGGUCCUACCUGGUGUCCUCCAUGAGAAUCAUACAAGCCCCGCUACAGACAACAGAAUUGGAAGGUCCUGAGAGCUACCAGAAGCAUCUUCAGUUUUCAUAUGAAAAACUUAAGCCCAGGAGUGAUUUGUGCAGCCAAGGACACACAGCAAGUUAGUGGCUGCACCAGAAAUAGUACUCACUGCCUCAGACAGUCCCUCCCACAGUCUACUCUGUCUCCACCCCAAGGUCUGGUUCUGAAUCAUUCAGUUGUCAGUUGUCUCCUUUUUUUUUUUUUUUUUUGGAGACAGGGUCUCUCUCUGUGGCCCAGGCUGAAGUGCAGUGGUGUGAUUACAGCUCAUGUAGCCUGGACCUCCCAAGCUCAAGCAAUCCUCCUGCCUCUGCCUCCCAAGUAGCUGGGACCACAGGUGGGCAGCACCACACCUGGCUAAUUUUUUAAAUUUUUUUUUAUAGAGACAGGGUCUUACCAUUUGCCCCAGCUGGUCUCAAACCCCUGGGCUCAAGCAAGCCUCCUGCCUUGGCCUCCCAAAGUGCUGGGAUUACAGGUGUGAGCCACCACACCCGGCCUUAUCUCCUAACAUUUUGAUAGCACAAAAUUUUGAAAACCCACUUCUGUGUACGUUAUGAAGCAUAGAAAAUUAAACAGUAUGCACCAAAAAAAAAUAAAUACAAGUUAUAAUAUUUUCUUUCUGUCCCCACACUUAAAAGACCACUCUUCUAAACCAGGCCACAAUCAUUCAAGCAAAGGCAGGCACUUGGGGCCAUCCUCCUCCACUUUCCCCUAGGGAAAACAAACAAAACCAAAGGAAAAACAAAAACAAAAACAGGUUUUAAAGAGUGCAUGUUUCCCAGUUCCAGGGAAAAUUAUAGGCCAGAACACUGUUGUGGCAAACAUGCAUCCUUACAUACUGCAGGGUAAACCAAACAUGCAACAAACUAAAUUAAUAAUGAUGAAACCAAACUAACAGUAACUUAUAAUUAAAAAGCCAGAACGGCAGCUGCUGGAAACAGGAGCAGAUCCACCAUCCUCGAUGAAACUCUGAUAAUCAAAUACCCUUUCCCAAAAUGGCCAAAAUCCUUGCUCACAUAUUCCAGGUAGGUUCUUUGCUCUGUAGCCAAGAUGUGAGUAGCAGCCAGUCUUCCAUAAGCUACUGAAUUAUCUCCUUGGUAAAUUCUAAUUGUGGGGCUAAUUUUUGUUUCCAAAUACUAAUUUUUUUUUUUUUUUUUUUUUUUUUUUUUAGAUGGAGUCUCAUUCUGUUGCCCAGGCUGGAGUGCAGUGGUGCGAUCUCUGCUCACUGCAAGUUCCGCCUCCCGGGUUCCUGCCAUUCUCCUGCCUCAGCCUCCCAAGUAGCUGGGACUACAGGCACCCAUCACCAUGCCCGGCUAAUUUUUUUGUAUUUUUUUAGUAGAGAUGGGGUUUCACCGUGUUAGCCAGGAUGGUCUCGAUCUCCUGACCUCGUGAUCCACCCACCUCGGCCUCCCAAAGUGCUGGGAUUACAGGUGUGAGCCACCAUGCCCAAUCUUUUUUUUUUUUUUUUGAGGCAGAGUCUUGCUCUGUCGCCCAGGCUGGAGUGCAGUAGCUCCAUCUUGGCUCACUGCAGUCUCUGCCUCCUGGGUUGAAGCAAUUCUUCUGCCUCAGCCUCCUGAGUAGCUGGGACUGCAGGCAUGCGCUGCCAUGCCUGGCUAAUUUUUGUAUUUUUAGUAGAGACAGGGUUUCACCAUGUUGGCCAGGAUGGUCUUGAUCUCCUGACCUCGUGAUCUGCCUGCCUCAGCCUCCCAAAGUGCUGGGAUUACAGGUGUUAGUCACCACGCCCGGCUUCCAAAUACUAAAUUUAACUAACACUCCAAAGCUCGCUCAGUAGGGUUCCAGUAAGUGGGGAUUCUCAUCUUACUUAGAAAGAUGAAGUCUGUUGGAAGGCACACCACAUGCCUGUAAGAACCCAAGAAAGGGCUGGCAAAUGUGGACCACUUCUUGGACUUCAUCUAGAUCUAGUGGGGAGAGGUCCCCAGCUUGUGGGCAGUGGAGAGUCUUCCAGAAGCCCUUGAAUCCUUACCUGCCACCCUGUCUGUUGACCUGAUUGUGAAAGUGCAAAUACCCUCAUGCAGGGACUCCAAGAAACUGCCAACCUUAAAAAAAGUGGGAGGGUUGGUGUAUUGGUUCAUGCCUAUAAUCCCAACACUUUGGGAGGCUGGGGCAGGAGGAUUGCCUGAGCUCAGGAGUCGGAGACCAGCCUGGGCCACAUAGAGAGUCUAUGUCUCUACUAAAAAUAAUACUUUUUAAAAAAUAGCCAGUUGGGCCGGGCGCGGUGGCUCACGCCUGUAAUCCCAGCACUUUGGGAGGCCGAGGCGGGUGGAUCACGAGGUCAGGAGAUCAAGACCAUCCUGGCUAACACAGUGAAACCCCAUCUCUACUAAAAAUACAGAAAAAAAAAAUUAGCCGGGCGUGUUGGCGGGAGCCUGUAGUCCCAGUUACUCGGGAGGCUCAGGCAGGAGAAUGGCGGGAACCCGGGAGGCGGAGCUUGCAGUGAGCCGAGAUCGGGCCACUACACUCCAGCCUGGGAGACAGAGCAAGACUCCGUCUCAAAAAAAAAAAAAAAAAAAAUAGCCAGGUGUGGUAGCACUGGCCUGUGAUUCCGGCUACCCUGGAAGCUGAGGCAGGAGGAUCACUUGAGCCCAGGAGAUCGAGGCUGCAAGUGAGUCAUGAUUGUGCCACUGCACUCCAGCCUGGGCAACAGAGUGAGACCCUGUCUCCAAAAAAAAAAUCUAGCCCUGUGUUUCCUAACAUCGGUGUGAGGCACCCCCAUACCUCUCUUCCCACUUUUUUUUAAGACAGGGUCCCGCCCUGUUGUCCAGGUUGGAGUACAGUGGCAGCAUGAUCAUAGCUCACUGAAGCCUAGACCUCUUGGGCUCAAAUGCUUUUCCUGAGUAGCUGGGACUACAAUGCACACCACCAUGCCCGGCUAAUUUUAUUUUUUGUAGAGACAGGGUCUCACUAUGUUUCCCAGUCUGGUCUUGAACUUCUGAGCUCAAAAGAUCAUCCUGCCUCAGCCUCCCGAGUAGCUAGGACUAGAGGCUCAUGCCACCAUACCCGGCUAGUUUUUAUUUUUAGUAGAGACAAAAACCUCACUUACGUUGCCCAAACUAUUCUCAAACUCCUGGACUCAAGCAAUCCUCCUGCCUCCGCCUCCAAAAGUGUUGGGAUUACAGGUGUGAGCCACUGAAUCUGGCCCAUAGGUCUUUUUUUUUUUGAGAUGGAGUCUCAACUGUUGCAGGGGCUAGUGUGUAGUGGCACAAUCUCGGUUCACUGCAACCUCUGCAUCCCGGGUUCAAGCGAUUCUCCUGCCUCAGCCUCCCGAGUAGCUAGGAUUACAGGCGCCAGCCACCAUGCCCAGCCUGGCUAAUUUUUUGUAUUUUUAAUAGAGACGGGGUUUCACUAUGUUGGCCAGGCUGGUCUUGAACUCCUGAACUCGUGAUCCACCCGCCUCAGCCUCCCAAAGUGCUGGGAUUACAGGCGUGAGCCAUGGCGCCCGGCUUUUUUUUUUUUUUUUUUUUUUUUAAGACAGUCUCGCUGGAGUGCAGUGGCAGAAUCUCGGCUCACUGCAACCUCUGCCUCCCGGGUUCAAGCGAUUCUUGUGCCUCGACCUACUAGUAGCUGGAAUUACAGGUGUGAGCCACCACACCUGGCCAGAUCUUUCUUAAUACCUCAAAACAACUAGGAAUUUGGGCUGGGCAUGGUGGCUCACGCCUGUAAUCCCAGCACUUUGGGAGGCCAAGGUGGGUGGAUCACUUGAGGACAGGAGUUCAAGACCAGCCUGGCCAACAUGGCAAAACCCCAUCUCCACUAGAAAUGCAAAACCUAGCCAGGUGUGGUGGCACACACCUGUAAUUCCAGCUACUUGGGAGGCUGAGGCAUUUGAACCCAGGAGGCAGAGGUUGCAGUGAGCUGAGACCACGCCACUGCACUACAGCCUGGGCAACAGAGCAAGACUUCGUCUCAAAAAACAAAAAAAAACAGCUAGGUUUGGCUACAAAGGAUUCACAGGGUAUUGGAGACUGCAGUUGGAACAGAGUUUUCCCAAAAAGCAACAGGGCUUCUGCCUCCUGGGCUUAGCAGAUGUGACCUUGGACAAGUUACUAAGCCUUUCUGAGCUUCAUUUUUCUCAUCUGUAGGAUGAGGUGUCUCCAGGUUAUUGUGAAGAUGUGUAUAUGCGGUGCUUUAUGAACCACAAAGCUGCAUGUGGUUGUCAGGUUCCCUCUUCUGGCCUUGUGAGCUGGAGACACACACACACAUUUCUCCCCAAACUGUCUCAGCCCCCAGGCACCUACUGCAAGGACUCGGGGAUCGUGCAGAGGUGCAAAGGAGUCGUGCCCUCCUCAGUCAGCACAUUAGCCUUGGCUCCGAAGGUCAGCAGCAGCCGCACACAGUCAAACUGGGCUCGGGCACAGGCCUCAUGCAAGGCAGCGCGACCCCCGACACGGGCAUCCAGCUCAGCUCCCUGCCGGAUCAGGUGUCGAGCACAGUCUGUGUAGCCUCGGGCUGUAGCGAUGGCGAGGGGUGCCGUCUGCUUGGUCUUGGGGGUCAGCACCCAGAACCCUAGGGAGAGCAAAUAGUUUUGGGAGGUGGUGUAUAAGACAGGGCAGGGCAGGGAGUGGGGAUGCUGGUUCCAGCUGACAGCUGACACUGGCCUUCCCUCUGCAUGGUUUGCUGAGCACAAACACUGCCAGGCUGUACCUGUGGAAGGGGGCUUAUUCAAGUCCUGAAGUGGAAGAAUAAAUUGGAACAGCCUUUUAAUACAGCUUAUCAAUCUGUAACAAAACAUAGUAUGUGUCAUAAAAAAAUUAAUUGCUGUAUAAAACCACAGGGGCCAACUAAGUAGAGUGACUCCCAUUAAGGAAAUCUCAGCGUCUUUGAAUGGCUAAUAGUGUCAAAGGCUUGUUCACCUUGGGGCCUGGGGUGGUGGCUCACACCUGUAAUCCUAGCACUUUGGGAGGCCAAGGCGGGAUGAUCACUUGACCUCAGGAGUUCGAGAUGAGCCUGGGCAACAUAGUGAGACCUUGUCUCUUUUUUUUUUUUUUUUAGGCAGGGUCUCGCUCUGUCCCCCAGGCUGGAAUGCAGUGGCGCUAUCUUGGCUCACUGCAAGCUCCGCCUCCCGGGUUUAAGUGAUUCUUCUGCCUCAGCUGCUGAGUAGCUGGGAUUACAGGUGCGCACCACCAUGCCCGGCUAAUUUUUCUAUUUUUAGUAGAGAUGGGGUUUUACCAUGUUGGUCAGGCUGGUCUCAAACUUCUGACUUCGUGAUCCGCCUGCCUUGGCCUCCCAAAGUGCUGGGAUUACAGGCGUGAGCCACUGUGCCCGGUCAACUUUUAAUUCUUAAAAGACAUACAGACUGCUAACCCUGCCUCAUCUCUGUUUAGGAGGGAGCUAGGAUAGGUGGUGGAAAGGGCUGCUAUAGUCUGUGGUCUGCAGGGAAGGAGGGGCCUAGACUCUCCCCCUUCCCCACCCACUCCCCUUCUUUCUCCCUCCUCUUCUGCCCUCUUCUGGUGCCCCCUACCCUGUUCAGCCGACCAGGCCAGCUGGUUGCUCACAGUCUCCACAAUCAUGUUGGCGGCCUCUUCAUCUUGGAACAGGGCUUGGACCUGCUGCAGGUUGCCGGAGAAGAGGGCUUGGUGGACAGCUGGGUCUCGGCAGGAACGGUGAGGCCUAGUGAGUCGGGCCCGGGGACUUGACGGGCACCUGCGGCUCCGGCACUGCUGGGCAGCCGCCCGCCGCCGGUCCUCCCAUUCCAGCCACUCCUGCUGCAGGCGGAGAGAGCGCAGCAUGGAGGAGGUGAAGGGGAAGGUCUCUCUUGCCAUGGAUGGGGCCCAGGGGUUUGGGCAGUGGCACCUGGGCAGAGCCAGGUUCCCUCGACCCGACUACCUCCCUUGCUCUGAGGAGCCACCCUGCCCCCGCCACCGUGAGCCAGAGAAAGCAGCAGCUGAGGCUAUAAAUAGGUCCUUUGCUGCUCUGGUAAACAUGGUUUGCUCAGAGUCAUGAUCCUGGUGCUGAGAAGCUGCUGGCCCAACCCCCAGCCCAGGGUGAGGGCCAGCCCCUGCCCCUGCCGAUACCCUUUGGUUGGUCAGCAGGCCCUCAGCUGAGGCCACCCCCGAACCCCAGCAUCUGCAUCCACCUUCAUCUCUAGAGCGAGCAUCUUGGGUUGGCAAGGUCCAGGGUGCGCAAAAAGGUCAGUCAUGGAGAUGGGCAGGGCUGGGAGGAAGACAAGGUGCCUCCAGCCUCUCUGAUGUUGGCUGGAGGGCAGGAGCCACCAUUGGCCCACGUGGAGGAGAGAGGGCUGACCUCAGCACAGGAGGUAAGGGGAGGUCAAGGCAGAGUUACUGAGAAGGUGAGCAGCUCUUCCCAGCAUCUGCAGUAACAGCAAUAACUCUGUACAUAUGCACAGAGUUUCACGGUGUUUAAAUCACAUUCAUAUCCACCUUCACCCAGGGGAUCAUACUUCCCAGCCCACCCAAUAAUUAGUAAACUUGGUUUGGACAAUAAAUGAAAUUAUCACAGUUGAAUGCCCCUGAGAUGGGUGGUCUUAUCUCUGUUUUACAGAUGAGGAAUUUAAGGCUUAACAAAGUAAUCUACUGGCUCAAGGUCACAGUUUGUGAGAGGCAGAGCCAGGACCCCACAUAGAUGGUGUGCUUUGGGCCAAGAAUGGUGGCUCAUGCCUGUAAUCCUAGCACUUUGGGAGGCCAAGACAGGAGGAUUGCUUGAGCCUAGGAGUUUGAGACAAUCCUGGGCAACACAGUGAGACCUAUAUCUUUUUUUUUUUUUUUUUUUUUUUUGAGACAGAGUCUCACCCUGUCUCCCAUGCUGGAGUGCAAUGGCACGAUCUUGGCUCACUGCAACCUCCGCCUCCCGGGCUCAAACGAUUCUCUUGCCUCAGCCUCCUGAGUAGCUGGGAUUAUAGGCACCCGCCACCAUGCCCAGCUAAAUUUUGUAUUUUUAGUAGAGAUUUAAUUUAGGGUUUCACCAUGUUGGCCAGGCUGGUCUCGAACUCCUGACCUCGUGGUCUGCCCGCCUCGGCCUCCCAAAGUGCUAGGAUUAUAGGCGUGAGCCACCACCCCCUGCCUCUCCAUCUCUUAAAAAAAGAAGAAAAAAAAAAAAAGAUGGUACACUUUUUGCCUUCAGCUGCUGCAGCCACCUGGCAGCCUCCCCCAUUCUCCAAGCAGGACAGACUAGUCUGUAGAAACUGCCUUCAAUCAUCCUUUUUUUUUUUUUCUCAUGGUGUCACCCAGUCUGGAGUGCAGUGGGGUGAUCUCGGCUCACUGAAACCUCCGUUUCCUGGGGUUCAAGUGAUUCUCCUGCCUUAGCUGCCUGAGUAGCUGGGAUUAUAGGUGCAUGCCACCAUGCCCAGCUGAUUUUUGUAUUUUUAUUUAUUAUUAUUUUUUUUUUGAGAUGGAGUCUCGCUCUGUCACCCAGGCUGGAGUGCAGUGGCGCGACCUCGGCUCACUGCAAGCUCCGCCUCCCGGGUUCACGCCAUUCUCCUGCCUCAGCCUCCCGAGUAGCUGGGACCACAGGCGCCUGCCACCACACCUGGCUAAUUUUUUGUAUUUUUAGUAGAGACAAGGUUUCGCCGUAUUAGCCAAGAAUAGGAUGGUUUCGAUCUCCUGACCUCGUGAUCCGCCCGCCUCGGCCUCCCAAAGUGCUGGGAUCACAGGCGUGAGCCACCGCGCCCGGCCGAUUUUUGUAUUUUUAGUAGUCGGUUUCGCCAUGUUGGCCAGGCUGGUCUGAAACUCCUGACUUCAGGCGAUCUGCCCGCCUCGGCCCCCCAAAGUGUUGGUAUUACAGGCGUGAGCCACAGCUCCCAGCACCUUCAAUCAUCCUUGAUUUAUUUUUUUAACCCAGCUGCUAAGGGGGCUCACAUGGCCGGCCUGAGGAGAGCCAAGGGGUUGAGCUGGAAACUCUGGGAAUGGACCUAAGAUGUUUAAGCCACAGACCUGUUCACUCUUAGGAGAAAGCAGCUGUGCUUCCAGGAGCCUCUAGGGGGAGGAAUGAAGCCGUGAAACCACACAAGCUGGUGUGCCUGCCAAGCUGGGGAAGGGGAGGGCUCAAAAGCUCUGCUCACCCUGAGCUCACUCAGUGCACAGCGGCCUGCAGGCAGGGCUGGUCUGUCCCCUCUGCAUCUGGGGCUCCUCCUGGCCCUUCUCCCGCUGCCUGUCCUGCCUCCUGGCCCUGCAGCAGCACCUUGCCCAGUGAUCUUUUAUUUCUUCCUCUCCCUAGGCCCUUCCCAUAAGCAAGUUCUAGCUCCUGUUCUUACAUUUUCAGGGACUGUCUCAAGUUCAGCCCCUCGAUGUAAUGCCUUAAACCUGGAUCAACUCAGUCUUUCACCUGGUGUUUCUUCCUCUGGCCAUAUCCCUUCUGCUCCGCUGCCGGAAUGAUCUGUCUAAAAUGGUUAAUUCCCUUGCUUAAAAACUUCUGCUGCCUUCCAAUACCUGUCCUUUCAUUUUUUUAAAAUAGGGCUCCAAAUCCUGGCCUCAAGCAGUCCUCCCAAGUCAGCCUCCUGAAUUGCUGGGAUUACAGGUGUGAGCCACUGCACCUGGCCUGCCCUUUUCAACUAAGCCCCCAAUUCCUUGGUUUGGCCCCAUGCCACUCACGUAGGGUAGGCAUCCUCAUCACGCACGGCUCCCCACAACCGUUCCCUGUCAGGCCAUUCCCUUAGCUCAGAAUUCCCUCAACACCUUCCUGAGGAUCUACCCCUAAGGUCACCUGCUCUGAGAGGUCUCUUCAGCAACCCAUUGCCUGACUCUUAUAGUUCCAGCCACUGCCCAAUCUGCACUCCUGAAGGACUCAGGGGCACGCUGUAAAGCACCUAUCUAUGCUGUUGAUGUGGGUCUGCCAUGCUGGAUGUGGGCUCCAGAGCAGGCCCUGGCAGUCAGAGCACUUGGCUCAUGGCAGGCGGGCCUCUUAUGUGUAGUGCAUUGAACGAAGGUCCCUGUUCUCUGCCAGAGCAAACAUCCAUCCACCCGCCCGCCCAAGUGGGUGGCAGCAGCCUGGGCUUUUUCCGGCAUUGCCCCUACUCUACUGUUCACCUACUCUCUGCCUGGCUCCAGCCUCUUGGUGGCAGUCCAGGGUGGGGGAUCCCAGAGGAGGAAUUAGAUCAUACAAAGCAAAGCCUGGAGGUCCUCAGAGAAAGAUGCCUCUAUAAAUGCAGCCUUGAUGAACCCUGUUGGCACCCAUUUGGUGUGUUAAUUGCCACAUCAACGGCCUGGCUGGGCACCCACAGCUGGGUUCCCAGGGUUGAGAAUCUGGCAAGGCUGGGUGAGACCAAGAGAGGCCAAGGCAGGUGGGUGUCCCCUUCCUCCCUGAGGCACACAAGAGUCAUAGCCUAGCCCCUCCCCUGCCUUCUUGCCACACAGACCUGAAGGAGCUAGGUACCCUAACAGCUUAGUCCCAAGAUACCACUGUAUUCAGUCCCCUUGUCUGUAGAGUUAGCUUCCUGAGGGCAGAGAAAGGAGGCCUUGACUUCAACCUGGAGGGAACAGGGCCAGGUGAUCAGAUGCCCAGCCUGCCUUCUGGGAUCUCAGAGCCUGUGGGGUAGUGAAGCACACAAGAAGCCAGGAUGUGAGCGUGGGAUUGAUCAGGACUGAGCAGGGGGACCGGGGCUCAUGGGUGUCAAGAAUGGGGAAUAGGCCCAGGGCAGAGGGGAGCUUUUAUUUUUUUAGAGACGAAAUCUCCCUAUGUUGCCCAGGCUGGUCUCAAUCUUCUAGGCUCAAGUGAUUCUCUCACCUCAGCCUCCCAAGUGGCUGGGACUACAGGUGCAUGCUGCCACUCCCAGCUGUGGGGGUUUAGGUGCAGGAAGAUCCCAGUGUAGAUGGGGAGUUAGCAGGGAGUGGAAGGUGGGAGAGAAGGAAAUGUAUGGUAGGUUCAGGUAGAAAAACCCAAUGGGAAUGUGAAGGGACCAGGGUGCAGGGGAAUUAGCCCCUUCUUGCCCUGGCCUUGUGGCACAAAAGCCUCUAGAACAGGGCCCUGCUGUAAUCAGCAGGUAAGUGAACAUGGAGUUCUCAAAGCACUUACUCACUUCAGCCUUAAGACUGGGAUCCAGUGGGGCACUGUGGCUCACACCUGUAAUCCCAGCACUUUGGGAGGCUGAGGUGGGAAGGAUCACUUGAGCCCGGGAGUUCAAGACCAGUCUGGAGAACACAGCAAGACUCCAUCUCUACAGAAAAAUGUUGUUAAUUAGCUAGGCGUGGUGGCACGCACCAGUAGUCUGUUACUUGGGAGGCUGAGAUGGGAGGACUGCUUAAGCCUAGGAGAUCGAGGCUGCAGUGAGCCAUGAUCACACCACUGCACUGCACUCCAGUUUGGUGACAGAGUGAGACCAUGUCUCUAAAACGACGACAACAACAACAACAAAACUGGAAUCCAUGGGAUCAGCCUCUUUGGGAAAAGGAGAUUAACGCUUCCCCCCAGAGGAGUGCCAAGCCCAUGCCCAUGGAAGGCCUCUGUCUCCUAGCUGCUUAGUGCAGGCUGAGGCUAAGGCAGGAGGGGCUGGCUGUCAAACAGGGCUAUUUAUUAUUUUAUUUACUUAUUCAAGAGAUAGCAUCUCACCACCUUGCUCAGGCUGGGCUUGAACUCCUGGGCCCAAGGGAUCCUCCCACCUCGGCCUCCCAAAGUGCUGGGAUUACAGGCAUGAGCCUCCACACCUGGCCCAAACCGGGCUCUUUAACCUGCCUCCUCUUGCCCAUGAGUUGGGAGAGUUUUCCCAACUCCUCCUUCCAGAAAGGAAAACAAGGUUGGCAACUUGGUAUAAUUAGACCUUUUACACCCCACCCAUGCCUCUUGUCCACCUCUAGUCCGAAAAUUGGUACAGAGAAGUCACAGCAAUGAAGAGUUGCUUGGCAACAAAAUUUUAUUUUAUUUUACUUUUUGAGAUGGAGUCUCGCUCUGUCACCCAGGCUGGAGGCAGUGGCGCGAUCUCGGCUCACUGCAAGCUCCGCCUCCGGGGUUCACACCAUUCUCCUGCCUCAGCCUCCCAAGUAGCUGGGACUACAGGCGCCCGCCACCAUGCCUGGCUAAUUUUUUGUAUUUUUAAUAGAGACAAGGUUUCACUGUGUUAGCCAGGAUGGUCUUGAUCUCCUGACCUCGUGAUCCGCCUGCCUCGGCCUCCCAAAGUGCUGGGACUACAGGUGUGAGCCACCACGCCUGGCCACACUUGGCAACAAAAUUAAGUAGUUUGAGAUCAUAUCCCAAAGUAUAAAAUAAAUACCUGUAAGUCCAUGCUGAUAUAAAUGGAUGAAUGAAUAAAUAAGGGAGAAUAGGCAAAUCUCCCAUGCAGAAGAAUUCCAAAUAAACUGCCGGGUGCGGUGGCUCACGCCUGUAAUCCCAGCACUUUGAGAGGUCGAGGCGGGCGGAUCACAAGGUCAGGAGUCCGAGACCAUCCUGGCUAACAAGGUGAAACCCCGUCUCUACUAAAAAUACAAAAAUUAGCUGGACAUGGUGGCGGGCGCCUGUAGUCCCAGCUACUCGGGAGGCUGAGGCAGGAGAAUUGUGUGAACCCGGGAGGCAGAGCUUUCAGUGAGCCAAGAUUGUGCCACUGCACUCCAGCCUGGGCAACAGAGCGAGACUCCAUCUCAAAAAGAAAAAAAAAAAACAAAAACCUGUGUAGAUAUUCUGCCCUUAAGGAGGUAGAACAUAAUUCCCCAAUUCUUAAAUGUGGGCUGCACACAGUGACUUCCUUCCAAAGGGUCCAGUACAGAAAGAAGAAAAAAGAGUAACUUUACAAUGGAGAAGUCUGGCAAAGUUUACCUCAGUCAGGUGAUCAAAGUCAGCAUGAACCCUUCAUAAGAUGUGGCAAGAAUGGCACCUGACCUCUGGUCUUCCUCUCCAAAACCCAGAACCUCAGUCUAAUCAUGAGGAAACAUCAGACAAAUCCUGAUAGAGGGGGAUUCUACCAUAUGCCUACCCGGUACUCCCCAAAACUGUAAGGUCAUCAAAAACAGGGAAGGUCUGAGAAACUAUCACAUCCAAGAGUCAGGAUGAUUGUGAAAUGGGAUUCUGAGGGGAAAAGGACAUUAGGGGGAAACUGAGUAAAUCUGAAUAAAGUAUGGAGUUUAGUUAAUAAUGAUUCAUUGUGACAAAUGUACCAUACUAAGGUGUUAAUAAUAGGGGAGACCACACCUGUAAUCCCAGCCCUUUGGGAGGCUAAGGUAGGAGGAUCACGUAAGUUUGAGACCAGCCUGGGCAACAAUAGUGAGACCUUGUCUCUAUGAAAAAUUAAAAACUUAGGCCGGGCAUAGUGGCUCACUCCUGUAAUCCCAGCACUUUGGGAGGCCGAGGCGGGCGGAUCGCGAGGUCAGGAGAUCGAGACCAUCCUGGCUAACAUGGUGAAACCCCGUCUCUACUAAAAAUACAAAAAGUUAGCUGGGCGUGAUGGUGGGCGCCUGUAGUCCCAGCUACUCGGGAGGCUGAGGCAGGAGAAUGGCGUGAACCCGGGAGGUGGAGCUGGCAGUGAGCCAAGAUCGCACCACUGUACUUCAGCCUGGGUGACAGAGCGAGACUCCGUCUCAAAAAAAAAAAAAAAAAAAAAGAAAAGAAAAAUGUAAAAAUUAGCCAGCCAUAGUGGUGCUGCCUGUAGUCCCAGCUACUUGGGAGGUUGAGGCAGGAGGAUUGCUUGAGCCCUGAAGGUCGAGGCUGCAGUGAGCUAUGACUGGGCCACUGCACUCCAGCCUGAGUGACAGAGAGAGACCCUGUCUCAAAAAAAUUGCUGGGCAUGGUGGCUCAUGCCUGUAAUCCCAGCACUUUGGGAGGCUGAGGUGGGGGGAUCACCUGAAGUCAGGAGUUUCAGACCAGCCUGGCCAACAUGGUAAAACCUCGUCUCUACUAAAAAUAAAAAAAUUAGGCUGGGCACGGUAGCUCAUGUCUGUAAUCCCGGCAUUUUGGGAGGCCGAGGCGGGUGGAUCACCUGAGGUCAGGAGUUCAAGCCCCGCCUGGCCAACAUGGUGAAACCCUGUCUCUACAAAAAAUACAAAAAUUAGCUGGGCGUGGUGGCAGGCGCCUGUAAUUCCAACUACUUGGGAGGCUGAGGCAGGAGAAUCACUUGAACCCAGGAAGCAGAGGUUGCAGUGAGCCGAGAUCACACCAUUGCACUGCAGCCUGGGCGACAAGAGUGAAACUGCAUGUCAAAAA